GACGAACGCUGGCGGCGUGCCUAAUACAUGCAAGUCGAACGCAGUGGGGACGGGUGAGUAACACGUGGGUAACCUCCCAUCAGAGGGGAUAAAACUUGGAAACAGGUGCUAAACCGAUACGGGGGGAUGGACCCGGGGUGCAUUAGCUAGUAGGUGAGGGAACGGUUGACCAAGGCCACGAUGCAUAGCCGGUCUGAGAGGGUGAUCGGCCACACUGGGACUGAGACACGGCCCAGACUCCUACGGGAGGCAGCAGUAGGGAAUCUUCGGCAAUGGACGAAAGUCUGACCGAGCAACGCCGCGUGAGUGAAGAAGGUUUUCGGAUCGUAAAGCUCUGUUGUUAGAGAAGCGUUAUCGAACCAGAAAGCCACGGCUAACUACGUGCCAGCAGCCGCGGUAAUUC
rnacentral:rRNA from 1 species